rnacentral:tRNA from 1 species
GGGUUCGUAGCUCAGCUGGUUAGAGCGCCGCUCUGAUAAGGCGGAGGUCGAUGGUUCGAGUCCAUCCGGACCCA